rnacentral:rRNA from 1 species
UACGAAGGGGGCUAGCGUUGCUCGGAAUCACUGGGCGUAAAGGGCGCGUAGGUGGCGCUCCAAGUCUGUGGUGAAAGCUCGAUGCUUAACAUCGAGUCGGCCACGGAGACUGGAGGGCUCGAGCACUGUAGGGGCAGAUGGAAUUCCGGGUGUAGCGGUGGAAUGCGUAGAGAUCCGGAGGAACCCCAGAGGCGAAGGCGGCGCCCUGGCUCGCAACUGACGCUCAGACACGACAGCAUGGGGAGCGAACGGG